rnacentral:rRNA from 1 species
CAGUGGGGAAUAUUGGACAAUGGGCGAAAGCCUGAUCCAGCCAUGCCGCGUGUGUGAAGAAGGUCUUCGGAUUGUAAAGCACUUUAAGUUGGGAGGAAGGGCAUUAACCUAAUACGUUAGUGUUUUGACGUUACCGACAGAAUAAGCACCGGCUAACUCUGUGCCAGCAGCCGCGGUAAUACAGAGGGUGCAAGCGUUAAUCGGAAUUACUGGGCGUAAAGCGCGCGUAGGUGGUUUGUUAAGUUGGAUGUGAAAUCCCCGGGCUCAACCUGGGAACUGCAUUCAAAACUGACUGACUAGAGUAUGGUAGAGGGUGGUGGAAUUUCCUGUGUAGCGGUGAAAUGCGUAGAUAUAGGAAGGAACACCAGUGGCGAAGGCGACCACCUGGACUAAUACUGACACUGAGGUGCG